rnacentral:Y_RNA from 1 species
AGCUGGUCCAAUGGUAGUGGGUUAUCAGAACUUAUUAACAUUAGUGUCACUAAAGUUGGUAUUCAACCCCCCACUGCUAAAUUUGACUGGCUUAAA